UCUGGCCAGGGAAUGUGAUUUCUGUCACUUCUGUCCUGCCUUGCCCCAUCCCCUUUCUUCUAGGGCUCACCAUUGCUGGAACCAGAGCCUCAUAUUCAACAAAUGGCCCAAGACCCUCUGAACCUGCCUGCUCUACAGUAUCCAGUGGGAAAACAAAACCACAAACCUCUUCAGAAGCUCAGGGUAUCAGCAGGUUGCCACCCAGCUGCCACCCCAGUCUCUGAUUUUGUCCCCUUGGUGCCUGUGAACUUUCCUGCAGGGUUAACAGCUGGCAGAGCCAGAGGCACACGAGGACACCCUGAAAAAGCUUAUGGAGAUCAGGGACACAAGAGUUACCGGAGCUACACCCCAAGACCUCUGUGCAUUUCCAGCCCCAGUGAUGCUGUCCUGACAUGCCAGCACUGCUUCUUGGUGGCUUUCUGCAUGCUCACCUUUCUGCUGGAAUGACCUCCUCUGACCCAGUGAGGUUGCUCAGGAAGGUGCGGGGAAUGUGGAACGAGAGUCUGAAACAGUUUGUCAGCAUCCUGGCACCACCCCAGGGUGCUGUCCAUACCUACUGCCAACUCUGCCUUGAUGCAAUCUGGAAAUUCUGGUAUUGGAGGAGAGCCGGUAGAAGACAAUGAAAGCAGAAAGGCUAGCCAACUGACCACUGCAGUCUUCUGCUCAAUGAACAGUGACAUCCUAGAAGGUGGCCUACUUGCUCCCCUGCCUGGAAAUUUCUGCACAAAGGUCAUUCCAAGCAUGGAUUUCAGCACCCCGUCACUGUUACCAGAUAACCUCCAUAGUUCAUCUCCUCAAGACCCAAGCUACUACCUGAUAGUCUCAGAAAAGCUCUCCAGGAAAUCAUGAAUCCAUAAGCUGUGGCUGUCUUUUAUUUUGAAACGGGGUCUCAAUAGGUAGACCUGGCUAGCCUCCCACUAUCCAUUCUCCCUCCUCCACCUGCUGACUCAGCAGUCAGGACUACAGGUAUGAGCUGGAUAUGUACCUUUAAAAGUGACAUGUGAAAGUUAUUGUUUGCUUCCUACAUGAGAGCUUGUUAGCCAAGUCUCUCAAUGCCCUGAGUCUCUAUCUUUAUCUCUGAAAAUGAUUUACAGCUUUUACUUGGUGACCCCAUAGGCACAUCAUAUGGAUCAAUGACACCAUAAAUGUCAAAGAGCUUUGUACACUGUGAAGGGCAGAACUAGUUCAUUUGAGUCUCUGGAACCUCCCUCAAUGUCCAUUCAAGACAGUCUGCACAUUGUU